GAAAUGCACUGCAGACGUGAGUUGGUUUGCCAGCUGUCACUAAAUGAAAAGAAGAGGAAGACGUGCUCUUUCACUUCUUCACUACUUGUGUUGUUUGUGAUUCAUGUUUGACUUGAUGCGGCAGCUUCAGCACUUCCAGAACAGAACAAAAGAUUCAAAGGGAAACUAGUUGAACUCGUUCUAAUGGCAUUAAAGUCAACCUGACUGCUGCUGAAUUCAAGACUGAAAUCACUCGAGUUUCUGUCAGUUCUGUCAUGAAUGUGUCCACGAGGAUCAUCAGACCGGACUGUGUUCCUCUUGAAGUCCACUCACAGCAUUAAAGUCAACCUGACUGCUGCUGAAUUCAAGACUGAAAUCACUCGAGUUUCUGUCAGUUCUGUCAUGAAUGUGUCCACGAGGAUCAUCAGACCGGACUGUGUUCCUCUUGAAGUCCACUCACAGGCAAACUGAAGAGGAUCCAGCAAGGGGCCAGUGAUGUCCUUCGUGUAGGCCAACAUCAGUUAUCAGUUCAGGUAACAACAGUUUUCAGGAGCACAGUGGAAUAGAGUUCCUCUUAUCUCCUCAUUAUUUUCUUGACACAACUGAAGAGGUUUUUUUCUUCUCUCCGUUGAACUUUUUCUGGAGGAAUCACUUGGCCCGGCUCGCUAGAUCCACCUUUCCAUGAUCCCCCCGUCAGCAUGGGAUGAUUGUCAUGAAACUGCUCCCAUGAUUUCAAGUGCUGCAUCAGGAGGAUGUUGUGAAAAAACAUGUCAGGAUACCUGAUCACUUCAGAGAACAAAACUGCACAUAGUGCAAUGGCGUCUUGAGGAGUCUGUAUGUAACGGUCGACUUUGGCACGGUUCCCAUUCAUGUAGAACCAAACUGUCUCACCAAAAUGUUUAUUGAACUCUUUUGAUGUUUUCAGCGUUGCAUAAGAAAGUCUUUUGUCUGAAAGAUGCAUGUCAGUACAGUACAGAUCGUUUGGUCGCAUCUGUAUCAUGAAUUUACCAACUAAAAAGUCAGUGGCCCGCAUGUCCUUUUUAUCCCAAGAUUCAAUGAGAAAACAUAUUAUUGCAACAUAAUGAGGAAAACUUGUUAUUCUGAUCGGUGCUCGCCAUAUGUUGUCAGCGACUGAGUCCUGGGGAAUGUCUCGAAUUGUUGCAGCAGAACACCCUUCCCAGGAAGUGUGCACUUUAAACGCUCCAUCCAGCAUUUUUGCAGAGGGACUUCCAACAUUUGUCCUUAGAUGAAAUAUAUCAAUACGGUCGCUCAGAAAGUUCAUCUCUUUCAUCUUCUCUGGAUGGAAGGACAGAAGGACUUCUGGCUUGUGGUCGUUCCCCUCGAACCUGGACUGCAUGAAUGCCAAAUGCAGAGCCGUGCGCAGAUAUUAUUUCUUCAGAAGCAGUAGCCGAAAUUUAGCCCAAAUAUUGUUCACUGAUUAUCAUUAAUAGUUGAAAUAUUCUUCAGUCUUUAUCCAAAUAUUGUUCAGUGGUUAUCAUUAAUAGUUGAAAUAUUCUUCAGACUUUCUCCAAAUAUUGUUCAGUGGUUAUCAUUAAUAGUUGAAAUAUUCUUCAGACUUUCUCCAAAUAUUGUUCAGUGGUUAUCAUUAAUAGUUGAAAUAUUCUUCAGUC